UACGUAGGGUGCAAGCGUUGCCCGGAUUUACUGGGCGUAAAGGGCGCGUAGGCGGCCACCGCAAGUCAGUUGUGAAAGCUCUGGGCUUAACCCAGAAAGGUCAACUGAUACUGCGGGGCUAGAGUGCAGAAGGGGCAACUGGAAUUCUCGGUGUAGCGGUGAAAUGCGUAGAUAUCGAGAGGAACACCUGCGGCGAAGGCGGGUUGCUGGGCUGACACUGACGCUGAAGUGCGAAAGCUAGGGGAGCGAACGGG
rnacentral:rRNA from 1 species